rnacentral:rRNA from 1 species
GUCUAUGGCCUUACCACCCUGAAUGCGCCUGAUCUCAUCUGAUCUCGGAAGCUAAGCAAGGUUGGGCCUGGUUAGUACUUGGAAGGGAGACAACUGUUGACC